AGUGAACGCUGGCGGUAGGCCUAACACAUGCAAGUCGAACGGCAGCACAGUAAGAGCUUGCUCUUACGGGUGGCGAGUGGCGGACGGGUGAGGAAUACAUCGGAAUCUACUUUUUCGUGGGGGAUAACGUAGGGCAACUUACGCUAAUACCGCAUACGACCUACGGGUGAAAGCAGGGGAUCUUCGGACCUUGCGCGAUUGAAUGAGCCGAUGUCGGAUUAGCUAGUUGGCGGGGUAAAGGCCCACCAAGGCGACGAUCCGUGGCUGGUCCGGGGGGAUGAUCGCCACCACGGAAACUGAGCACGGGUCCAGACCCUUAGGGAAGGAGCAGUGGGGAAAUAUUCGAAAAUGGCGGAAGCCCUACUCAGGACAGACCGGGUAGGUGAAGAAGGCCUUCGAGUGGUAAAGCCCUUUUGUUGGGAAAGACAAGCGUCAGGUUAAUACCCCGCUGUUCUGACGGAACCCAAAGAAUAAGCACCGGCUACCUUCGG
rnacentral:rRNA from 1 species